CAGCCAGGAUUAGAAAUGAGCUUCGUUCCAUUGUUAUCAAACGAUUGCCAUUCUGAAAUGCUGUAAAUAGCAUGAUUCAAAUCAUCUUGUGCUGCAGCAGUUUCUUUGUAAUAUGCUUCAUAUAUUUCACGAUUCUUAAUUCUAAAUGCGCCAGAUAAAUCGAUAACAUGAAUACCUUUUUCUACUAAGGGA
rfam:Staphylococcus aureus subsp. aureus NCTC 8325, complete genome.